CGAGAGUCCUGUUCCGUCAUCCCAGUGUUCAGACUACCUGUUCAGGGUCUUACUGGUGUACAGUAGUCUGCACAUUGGUUAGACUGGGCAAGGAAUGGCU
rnacentral:pre_miRNA from 8 species